UACGAAGGGUGCAAGCGUUACUCGGAAUUACUGGGCGUAAAGCGUGCGUAGGCGGUUUGUUAAGUCUGUCGUGAAAGCCCCGGGCUCAACCUGGGAAUGGCGAUGGAAACUGGCGAGCUAGAGUACGGUAGAGGAGAGUGGAAUUCCCGGUGUAGCAGUGAAAUGCGUAGAGAUCGGGAGGAACAUCAGUUGCGAAGGCGGCUCUCUGGACAGUUCCUGACACUGAGGCACGAAGGCCAGGGGAGCAAACGGG
rnacentral:rRNA from 1 species